rnacentral:rRNA from 1 species
AUUGAACGCUGGCGGCAUGCCUUACACAUGCAAGUCGAACGGUAACAGGUCUUCGGACGCUGACGAGUGGCGAACGGGUGAGUAAUACAUCGGAACGUGCCCAGUCGUGGGGGAUAACUACUCGAAAGAGUAGCUAAUACCGCAUACGAUCUGAGGAUGAAAGCGGGGGACCUUCGGGCCUCGCGCGAUUGGAGCGGCCGAUGGCAGAUUAGGUAGUUGGUGGGAUAAGAGCUUACCAAGCCGACGGUCUGUAGCUGGUCUGAGAGGACGACCAGCCACACUGGGACUGAGACACGGCCCAGACUCCUACGGGAGGCAGCAGUGGGGAAUUUUGGACAAUGGGCGAAAGCCUGAUCCAGCAAUGCCGCGUGCAGGAUGAAGGCCUUCGGGUUGUAAACUGCUUUUGUACGGGACGAAAAAGCUCCUUCUAAUACAAGGGGCCCAUGACGGUACCGUAAGAAUAAGCACCGGCUAACUACGUGCCAGCAGCCGCCGUAA